CGUGGCUCAGGAUGAACGCGGCGGCGUGCUUAAUACAUGCAAGUCGAACGCGCAGCGAAAGGUGCUUGCACCUUUCAAGCGAGUGGCGAACGGGUGAGUAACACGUGGAUAACCUGCCUCAAGGCUGGGGAUAACAUUUGGAAACAGAUGCUAAUACCGAAUAAAACUUAGUAUCGCAUGAUACAAAGUUGAAAGGCGMUAYGGCGUCACCUAGAGAUGGGUCCGCGGUGCAUUAGUUAGUUGGUGGGGUAAAGGCCUACCAAGACAAUGAUGCAUAGCCGAGUUGAGAGACUGAUCGGCCACAUUGGGACUGAGACACGGCCCAAACUCCUACGGGAGGCUGCAGUAGGGAAUCUUCCACAAUGGGCGAAAGCCUGAUGGAGCAACGCCGCGUGUGUGAUGAAGGCUUUAGGGUCGUAAAGCACUGUUGUAUGGGAAGAAAUGCUAGAAUAGGGAAUGAUUCUAGUUCGACGGUACCAUACCAGAAAGGGACGGCUAAAUACGUGCCAGCAGCCGCGGUAAUACGUAUGUCCCGAGCGUUAUCCGGAUUUAUUGGGCGUAAAGCGAGCGCAGACGGUUGAUUAAGUCUGAUGUGAAAGCCCGGAGCUCAACUCCGGAAUGGCAUUGGAAACUGGUUAACUUGAGUGUUGUAGAGGUAAGUGGAACUCCAUGUGUAGCGGUGGAAUGCGUAGAUAUAUGGAAGAACACCAGUGGCGAAGGCGGCUUACUGGACAACAACUGACGUGAG
rnacentral:rRNA from 1 species